GAGUUUGAUCAUGGCUCAGAUUGAACGCUGGCGGCAGGCCUAACACAUGCAAGUCGAGCGAGAAAGCACUUCGGUGUGAGUACAGCGGCGGACGGGUGAGUAACGCGUAGGAAUCUACCCAGUAGUGGGGGACAACAUGGGGAAACCCAUGCUAAUACCGCAUACGCCCUACGGGGGAAAGCGGGGGAUCUUCGGACCUCGCGCUAUUGGAUGAGCCUGCGUUAGAUUAGCUAGUUGGUGGGGUAAAGGCCUACCAAGGCGACGAUCUAUAGCUGGUCUGAGAGGAUGAUCAGCCACACUGGAACUGAGACACGGUCCAGACUCCUACGGGAGGCAGCAGUGGGGAAUAUUGCGCAAUGGGGGAAACCCUGACGCAGCCAUGCCGCGUGUGUGAAGAAGGCUCUCGGGUUGUAAAGCACUUUCAGCAGGGAGGAAAGGGAGUCGGUUAAUAAGUAACAGCUGUGACGUUACCUUUAGAAGAAGCACCGGCUAACUCCGUGCCAGCAGCCGCGGUAAUACGGAUGGUGCAAGCGUUAAUCGGAAUUACUGGGCGUAAAGCGCGCGUAGGCGGUUUGCUAAGUCGGAUGUGAAAUCCCCGAGCUCAACUUGGGAACUGCGUUUGAAACUACAAGACUAGAAUAUGUCAGAGGGGGGUAGAAUUCCACGUGUAGCAGUGAAAUGCGUAGAGAUGUGGAGGAAUAUCAAUGGCGAAGGCAGCCCCCUGGGAUAAUAUUGACGCUCAUGCACGAAAGCGUGGGGAGCAAACAGGAUUAGAUACCCUGGUAGUCCACGCCCUAAACGAUGUCAACUAGUUGUUGGUAGAGUAAAAUCUAUGAGUAACGCAGCUAACGCGUGAAGUUGACCGCCUGGGGAGUACGAUCGCAAGAUUAAAACUCAAAGGAAUUGACGGGGACCCGCACAAGCGGUGGAUUAUGUGGAUUAAUUCGAUGCAACGCGAAAAACCUUACCUACCCUUGACAUGUAUCGAAGCCCGCGGAGAUGUGGGUGUGCCCGAAAGGGAACGAUAACACAGGUGCUGCAUGGCUGUCGUCAGCUCGUGACGUGAGAUGUUGGGUUAAGUCCCGCAACGAGCGCAACCCUUGUCAUUAAUUGCCAUCAUUUAGUUGGGCACUUUAAUGAGACUGCCGGUGAUAAACCGGAGGAAGGUGGGGAUGACGUCAAGUCCUCAUGGCCCUUAUGGGUAGGGCUUCACACGUAAUACAAUGGCGCGUACAGAGGGUUGCCAACCCGUAAGGGGGAGCUAAUCUCAGAAAGCGCGUCGUAGUCCGGAUUGUACUCUGCAACUCGAGUGCAUGAAGUCGGAAUCGCUAGUAAUCGCGGAUCAGAAUGUCGCGGUGAAUACGUUCCCGGGUAUUGUACACCCCGCCCGUCACACCAUGGGAGUGGACUCUGCCAGAAGUAGGUAGCCUAACCGCAAGGGGGACGCUUACCACGGUGGGUUUCAUGACUGGGGUGAAGUCGUAACAAGGUAACC
rnacentral:rRNA from 1 species